ACGGCCAGGUGGAUGCUGGCUUACACCCCACCCGUCCCCUCAGACUGCCGUCCAGCCUGGAGGCGCCUGUGUCCAGUCCCUUGCAGCGGGACAGGGCUCAGCCACCACCAGGCCCCACGUGGACCCUCAGCCCUCAGGAAACACCUUGAAGCCCAUCCCAGCUUGGGGACAGCCAAGCUUCAGUGGGGUGCUGAAGGUGCCACUCCUUGCAAGUCCCUGGUGUCUCCGAUGGAUCACAGGGAAGUUGAAGGCAGAGGAAACCAGAUUGCAGCAACCGCACCGCAGCUUCCGAGUCCUCUAGAUGCUGGGUAGGAGGACGGCUGGGGACACAGUGACCAGAGCAGAAACGUGGAUGACCCCAGGGAGCACUGCUCUCCCCAUGGUGAGCUCAGGAGAGCCAGCAGUGCUGGGCAGUGGCAGCCUGCCGGCACGGAGGCCAUCAGCUCGAUGGCUCUGCAGGGUGCUUGGGGUGCAUGCUGCUGGGGGAGGCGGUCGGUGGGUCCCGUGACUGGAGAUAGUUAACCUUUGUCUUGAGUGGGCGGUUGUUCCAAGGAGCGUUGUUUGCGGUCUCAGUUGCCGGGCAGCUGCAGCCCUGGGAGUCAGGAGGGCCGGAUGCCCCUGGUUCCCCCGCCUCACUAUUGACUCUGGGCUGGAGCAAACCCCAUGGGAUUAGCCUCGCCCCGCCCAGCGGGCUCUCGUCCGCUGUACUCAUCACCUUUGUGGCCCAUGGCCCUGUCUGUCUCUCCCCCGCAGAGGGCCAGAUGCGGGUGGGGACAGGUGGCACUGUGGUGGCAGCCAGGACCACAUGGGCAUCGCCCCAGGGCUCCCUCCCCGUGGAGCUGUGCUCCUGGCUGUGGGCGCAGGCAUCGGGAUAGCCAACCACUGACCGGGUCUCUGAGGAAGCAGCCCAGAGACACAUGGGCACCGCAUGCUGUGGCUU
rnacentral:lncRNA from 1 species